rnacentral:lncRNA from 1 species
CUACCAUUUCCUCUCCACUUUGGGUCAUCUUUUCAACUGGAUCAGGAAACAUGGGAUUCUUGUGAUGAUUCAAUAUUUCCAAACUCCAUGAGGUUACCCCAGACAGGUGGGGUUGGUCCUCAUUACCUUCCCAAGGCCCAACAAGCGUCCAUGACACUUGUUCCCCAUGUAAGUGAUCUAUAGAUGUAUUGCUGUGCGUGGCAAUACAUUUUUUAAAGAUUUAUUUACUACUUGAAAGGCAGAGUUAUAGACAAAGAGGGAAAUCAGUGAGAAAUCUUCCAUCCACUGGCAGAGUCCCCAUAGAACCUCAAUGAGCAGGUUGGACCAGGCCAAAUCAGGAGUCCAAAACUCCAUCAGAGUCUCCCAAACAGCUGGCAGGGCGCAAGCACGAGACAUCUUACACUGCUUUCUGAGGCACAUUAGCAGGGAACUGGAUCAGAAGUGGAGGAGCAGGGACACCAACCAGGGAUCCCAUUAGGGGUCCCCACAGGUGGCGCUUGAACCUGCUGCACCACAAUGCCAGCCUCAGGUGGCAGUAUAUCUUUAUCUUGGCCUCCAGAGCUCCCAUAUUAGACAAUAAUAUGAUUGGUAGAAGAUGACAAGGACAAAGGAAAUGGACAAGAGUUAUGAGACAAAACAGAGGAAGGGAAACAGGAAGGCUGGAAAACAAUGAGUUGCACACAUCGACCCAGUGGCUACCUAUGGAGGAACAAGGUGACACUUCUUAGGCACAGUGAUGGGAAUCUGAGGCAGGAAGAAGAAGGCAAAGUUCAGAGAUCCUCUCACUUAUACAGAGGCUAUGUGGCUGCAUCCGAACAUUCCCUCGGGAGCAGCGAUCUGGGACUGUCCACAUGUUCCCUGGAUGUGAACUAUCCCCAAAGACUUCAGGACAUGGAGGACCUCGACGAAGAUCAGGAAUUGGAAGCCAACAAACUGGAGCCCAGAGGUGGAGAGGCUGCCGUCGAGGCUGACCUGGAGAGUGGAGAGGAAUGGCUAUUCAGGAUCCACGCAGGUGAGUGAAGGAUGUACCCUGAGGUGGUCCCAGGGCUCCCCUCGGGCUUCCAGGCUGAGCCCCCAGGAGCUGUUUACAUCUGAAGGGAAGGCUGGGGGUGCUGGUACAACUGGCAUGUAAAUGGCUUCAGUGUGGCCACGGGUGGUGGUGUUUCUGGAAGAGCCCCAGAGCCGCUCAACACCUCCCUCUGGAGGGCACUUUCCUGCCUGCCCGACAUGGAUGCCAACAGGGAACCUCCCCAGCUGUGGUGGGACACUGGUAUUUUCUCUGAGCUCCUCCACCUAGAGACAAUGAGGUGAGGAUGGACAGAGGGAGGCACCUCUGGGCUCCUUUUCACACCAGAAGAGGCCACAGA